UGACGAGUGGCGGACGGGUGAGUAAUGCUUGGGAACAUGCCUUUGUGAGGGGGAUAACAGUUGGAAACGACUGCUAAUACCGCAUAACGUCUACGGACCAAAGGGGGCUUCGGCUCUCGCGCAAAGAGUGGCCCAAGUGAGAUUAGCUGGUUGGUGAGGUAAAGGCUCACCAAGGCGACGAUCUCUAGCUGUUCUGAGAGGAAGAUCAGCCACACUGGGACUGAGACACGGCCCAGACUCCUACGGGAGGCAGCAGUGGGGAAUAUUGCACAAUGGGGAAACCCUGAUGCAGCCAUGCCGCGUGUGUGAAGAAGGCCUUCGGGUUGUAAAGCACUUUCAGGUGUGAGGAAAGCAUAUUUGCUAAUACCAAAUAUGUGUGACGUUAACACCAGAAGAAGCACCGGCUAACUCCGUGCCAGCAGCCGCGGUAAUACGGAGGGUGCGAGCGUUAAUCGGAAUUACUGGGCGUAAAGCGCACGCAGGCGGAAUGUUAAGCUAGAAGUGAAAGCCCUGGGCUCAACCUGGGAAGGCCUUUUAGAACUGGCAUUCUAGAGUUUUGGAGAGGGGAGUGGAAUUCCACGUGUAGCGGUGAAAUGCGUAGAUAUGUGGAGGAACAUCAGUGGCGAAGGCGACUCUCUGGCCAAAGACUGACGCUCAUGUGCGAAAGUGUGGGUAGCGAACAGGAUUAGAUACCCUGGUAGUCCACACCGUAAACGCUGUCUACUAGCUGUGUGUGAUUUUAAAUUGUGCGUAGCGAAGCAAACGCGCUAAGUAGACCGCCUGGGGAGUACGGCCGCAAGGUUAAAACUCAA
rnacentral:rRNA from 1 species